UACGGGGGGAGCAAGCGUUGUUCGGAUUUACUGGGCGUAAAGGGUGCGCAGGCGGUUUUGUAAGCCAGAUGUGAAAUCCCCGGGCUCAACCUGGGAAUGGCAUUUGGGACUGCAAGGCUAGAGUGUGGCAGAGGAGACUGGAAUUCCCGGUGUAGCAGUGAAAUGCGUAGAUAUCGGGAGGAAUACCGAUGGCGAAGGCAGGUCUCUGGGCUGACACUGACGCUCAUGCACGAAAGCGUGGGGAGCAAACAGG
rnacentral:rRNA from 1 species